rnacentral:misc_RNA from 1 species
UUUCCGUAGGUGAACCUGCGGCGGGAUCAUUAAUGAGUGAGGGCUUCGGUCCGACCUCCAACCCUUUUGUGAACCACCUCGUUGCUUCGGGGGCGACCCUGCCGUUCGCGGCGUGGGCCCCCCGGAGCCCAUCAAACCCUGCGUAACUGAGUCGUCGGAGUUUAAACAAAUUAAACAAAACUUUCAACAACGGAUCUCUUGGUUCGGGCAUCGAUGAAGAACGCAGC